GAUGAACGCUGGCGGCGUGCUUAACACAUGCAAGUCGAACGGAACUACUCCAAUGAGAGUCUUCGGAAAGGAUUUGGUUUAGUUUAGUGGCGGACGGGUGAGUAACGCGUGGGUAACCUGCCCUAUAUAGGGGGAUAACAGUUGGAAACGACUGUUAAUACCGCAUAAGCGCACAGGAGCGCAUGCUCCGGUGUGAAAAACUCCGGUGGUAUAGGAUGGACCCGCGUCUGAUUAGCUGGUUGGCGGGGUAACGGCCCACCAAGGCGACGAUCAGUAGCCGGCCUGAGAGGGUGAACGGCCACAUUGGGACUGAGACACGGCCCAAACUCCUACGGGAGGCAGCAGUGGGGAAUAUUGCACAAUGGGGGAAACCCUGAUGCAGCGACGCCGCGUGAGCGAAGAAGUAUCUCGGUAUGUAAAGCUCUAUCAGCAGGGAAGAAAAUGACGGUACCUGACUAAGAAGCCCCGGCUAACUACGUG
rnacentral:rRNA from 1 species